rnacentral:rRNA from 1 species
UCUUGCAAACUAAAGAUGGCGACCGGCGCACGGGUGAGUAACACGUAUCCAACCUGCCGAUAACUCGGGGAUAGCCUUUCGAAAGAAAGAUUAAUAUCCGACAGUAUAUUAAAACCGCAUGGUUUUACUAUUAAAGAAUUUCGGUUAUCGAUGGGGAUGCGUUCCAUUAGUUUGUUGGCGGGGUAACGGCCCACCAAGACUACGAUGGAUAGGGGUUCUGAGAGGAAGGUCCCCCACAUUGGAACUGAGACACGGUCCAA